rnacentral:tRNA from 1 species
GGUUCGUUGGUGUAACGGCUAACAUAACAGAUUGUCGAUCUGUUGCAAUGGGUUCAAUUCCCAUACGAACCG